AGUGGGGUGCGGGUGUGGCUGAAGGGGGAGGUGGCGCGAAGUCGCAGUGCGCGGCAGAGUUGGCGCGUCUGCACGGGGCACUUAAUGCCCAUUGGACUAGUUCUACCGCGCGUUGGCAGGGCGGCCAAAACCCUGCUAGUGCGCAGGACAUUAGUCCAACGAGCAUUAAGCAUCACACAAAAAGUGUUCGUUUGCGCUAGUGUGCAGUAGCGCCGAUUAAGUUUUUACAGCUUGUUGCCUGAGGGGGAAAAAUAUGUUUGUGAGAAAGAAUUGUAACAAACCUAUUCCGUGUGCCAGUGAUUCUCAAUCAAGUGCCAGCUAGAGCACCAGGAGUGUGAAGAGAUAAAGAGAUAACAAGCUCAUGCUCUCCCUGACUGGUCAUCUGAGAACUCCAAAAGAUUUAUGAUUGAGGCUGUUCUUAUUGUUACACCAAGUGAUUCAUGAUUCCUAAAUCUAGUUAUAGUCUUACAAUGUGUUAAUUUUGUGAGGCAGUGUUGUUUAACAAAAGUGAUGUUGGUAUCCCAGACAGCAGUCUAAUAUUUUAUUAUAUACAUUUUCUAAAAAAAACAAACCCCAAAAAACCCUGCAGCUCAAGUAUACAGACUGUUUUUUGUGUAUAAUUAGCCCCACUGGAGACUUAUUUAGCAGCCCAUUAGCCUUGUCUAAUCAGCAUAUGUGAAACAGCAAAUCUAGCUCUUUCUUACUUAUACCCUCAUUAUGGA